UAAUAAUAUAUCGUAUGCUUAUUAUAAAUUAUUUAUUUUACAGGGUGCACACACGCGAAUUUAUUGUUUACAUUAAUUAUUACUAAUUUAUCCACGUUGAAUUUGUGUGCAUGCAAAUUGUAUAAUGUAUGAAUCAGAAGUCUUAAUCAAAAAGAUAUAACCUAUAAUUAUGUAAAAAAUAAAAAAUAUUUUCUUUGUAGAUAAUAUCAUUGCUGCCAUGCAAAAAGUGACUAAA